rnacentral:lncRNA from 1 species
AUAAGCGGUUGUCGAAGCCGUAAAAAAUAAACCUAUUAAACAAUCAACAAUAAACUUGUAGAUAGUGGCAAUAGGGUCGAACCACAGAGAAUUGACACCAAGUAUCUUCCUAAUAAUGACUAAGGCAAGUAAUAACAAAUUAGUAAAAGAGGGGGGUUUGUUUUGAUGAGUUAAAAUCUAAAAGCAAAAGAAAACAAUAAUUUAAAUAAGUGAGAAUAUCAAUGGUAAAGAGAUUCUAGCUGAAGUGUGAGCCUAAUUCAGUUUGUUCAGAAUUGAUCAUUGAUUAUUAAAGACUCCUAUUUGAUUUCAAUAAAUUAGUUUUGGUUGUGGAAGACGCUUCUCACAAUCCAAAUUCCUCCUUAGUUCUAGUUUGAUUAGGAAACGUUUGCUAAUCAAACACUGAUCAACAAGUUGCCAAGGAACAUCCUUGGGGCAUUUAGCAUCGAUCAACCGUUGAUCGCAUUAAGACUUAGAGAAAUCCAAUUCUAUCCUUGCCAACCGCGUGGUCAAGGCUAGGUUAUGCAACUGAUUAUAUUUAUGUUCAAACAAUUUAAGCAAUUACGAAC